UAUAUUUUAGUAUAUGAUGUACAAGAGCUUUUGAUGCUUUGGGAAAUAGUUUAAUUCUAUUAAAUAUAA
rnacentral:tRNA from 1 species